CGGACGGGUGAGUAAUGUAUGGGGAUCUGCCUGAUGGCGGGGGAUAACUACUGGAAACGGUAGCUAAUACCGCAUAAUGUCUACGGACCAAAGCGGGGGACCUCCGGGCCUCGCGCCAUCAGAUGAACCCAUAUGGGAUUAGCUAGUAGGUGAGGUAACGGCUUACCUAGGCGACGAUCCCUAGCUGGUCUGAGAGGAUGAUCAGCCACACUGGGACCGAGACACGGCCCAG
rnacentral:rRNA from 1 species